rnacentral:lncRNA from 1 species
UAGACAAGUCGGUGCCGGAUCUGCAGCCGGAAGGGGGGCGCGGUGGUUCGCCGGUCACGCGGUGGUUCGCUGUCGAAGAGAGGGAGGGCAGACAGAGACGUGAGGAGAGAGAAAGAGUAAGGGACGGACGAGUCGGGGCUGGAAUCGGAGCCAGAGGGGCGGCGCGGUGGUUCGCCGGUCGGAAAGAGGGAGGGCAGAGAGAGAAGGAGGUCGCACGCCGGUCGGUUGCUCGCGGUGGUUCGCCAGUCGGAAAAAGCGAGGGCAGAGAGAGAGGGAGUUCGUCGGGGAGAGAGAGCGAGGGUAGAG